rnacentral:lncRNA from 1 species
GAAUUCACAAUGCCUUGCAACAGCCACUGAGAAACCCUGACCUGGAGCUGGGAGGCUGCCCGAUUUCUCCAUGUUCGCUCAUCCCAGUUCCUCCCAUAACUCUUCUUCCUUCGAGCGAGCAACAGAUGCGUCGUGCAGAAUGACACAUAGCAGCUGCAGCUACUUCAGCAGCCGCCUGGAGAGAAACGGGUCAAGACCAUGUAUGAUCUAGGCCUUGUUUGCAAAGCCCCCAGGGUUCAUCUGGGAAGACUGGUGUCACCUAUCAGGAGACAGGGCCAAUUACAACAUCUCGGAGAUGGAGGGCUGGCGACAUGUGGUGCUGGGCAUGGCUCUACUUCUCCCUGCUUCCAGGGACAACUGAGCAUUACAGGCUGAACACAGUCUCACAGUGCUCCACCUCCAAGUGCUGGAAUCCCAGGAGUGUACCACAACACAUGUGGCGCUGGGGACUGAAUCCAGAGCUUCAUGAAUGUUGGACAAGCAGUUUACCAACUAAGCUACAUUCCUUACCACCACCACCACCCUGCCCCACCCCGCUUUUGAGUUUUGUCUCCAUCUCUAAAUGGGGUGCUGGGAUGUCAGAGGGAUGAAGAAGGUGAUGCAUGUGAAAUAUGAUGAUAGAGCCUGGCACACAGUAGUGCUCAAUAAGUAACAACUAUCCAUGGUGACUGGCAGAACUCACAAUGUGCUAUCAUGUGCAAUAGCCAAGUGAGGCUUCAGGACAAGGUGUUGCAGUGAUCUCUUCCUUCCAGAGGAUGUAUGUGGAUCUCAAGGUCACGCAACUGGGAAGGUGCACACCAGGGCACCAUCUCAAGCCAUAUGAACUCCGAGUCUCUGCUUUUCCAGCUACGCAAUAGUAUUCUUUUUUGGAGGAGGAGCAGCAGGCUAUAUGCCUAGCCAGGAGAGGCUCAACUAUCCCUCUUGAUUUCCAUCUUCGCUCUUCUUUGAAAUGGAACCUCCCUGGGAAGGAAGUGAUACCUGCACGGCCAAGGGAGCUGACGUGUGGCAAGAGGCAGCCUUGAGAAGCCUGCAGAUAGCUUUCCUCUAAGCUGCCGUUUGCUCAGUGCCCCUACUUUGCAGAGGGCAAAGCCACGGCAUCCCAAAACCGCAGCUCUGCCAGCUGGGCUGGUGCUGGCCACAGAAGACUGCAGACCCAAGCGAGAACAAGCAUUGGCCACUGCGUUGUGGUUUGGAGUUACUGUCACACAACCGUAUCGCUGCAAAGGCUGAUUAAUACGUCUGUCAGACUCAGGGUGGGAGGCACUUACCCCGCCACAACGAUCUCGAAGUCCCCAUCAUGGUCCACAUCUGUCACUGCCACUCCAUAGUUGAGCUGGGUGGGGUUGCUGUCAUAGUCAGGGGGCAGGACUGAGUUGGUGACUGCAGUGAACAUGGGCUCAGCCCUCUGGGAUCCCCCAGUGAGAGGCAGAAGCCACAGGGGCGGCAGCAGGAGCAAAGCCAUCCUGACCAUCUGAAAGCAAAAGUUACAGGCUUUACUGAAAGGUCCCAGAGCUGGGCAAAUAAAUCCAGUCCCGGGAGGCCAUGUCGGCAUUCUCCCCUGUCUCAGCCAUCAU